rnacentral:tRNA from 1 species
GUUUAUAUAGUUUAAUAAAAAACCUUACAUUUUCAUUGUAAAAUUAGAUAGAAUCUUGUAAAUA